rnacentral:rRNA from 1 species
AUUGAACGCUGGCGGCAUGCUUUACACAUGCAAGUCGAACGGUAACAGGGUGCUUGCACCGCUGACGAGUGGCGAACGGGUGAGUAAUGCGUCGGAACGUACCGAGUAGUGGGGGAUAACGCAGCGAAAGUUGUGCUAAUACCGCAUACGUACUGAGGUAGAAAGUGGGGGACCUUCGGGCCUCACGCUAUUCGAGCGGCCGACGUCUGAUUAGCUAGUAGGUGAGGUAAAGGCUCACCUAGGCGACGAUCAGUAGCGGGUCUGAGAGGAUGAUCCGCCACACGGGGACUGAGACACGGCCCAGACUCCUACGGGAGGCAGCAGUGGGGAAUUUUGGACAAUGGGCGAAAGCCUGAUCCAGCCAUGCCGCGUGUCUGAAGAAGGCCUUCGGGUUGUAAAGGACUUUUGUCAGGGAGGAAAUCCCUAGUGCUAAUAACACUGGGGGAUGACAGUACCUGAAGAAUAAGCACCGGCUAACUACGUGCCAGCCGCCGCCGUAA